GAUGAACGCUGGCGGCGUGCUUAACACAUGCAAGUCGAACGGUAAGGCCCUUCGGGGUACACGAGUGGCGAACGGGUGAGUAACACGUGGGUGAUCUGCCCUGCACUUCGGGAUAAGCCUGGGAAACUGGGUCUAAUACCGGAUAGGACUCCUGGCUUCAUGGUUGGGGGUGGAAAGCUUUUGCGGUGUGGGAUGGGCCCGCGGCCUAUCAGCUUGUUGGUGGGGUGAUGGCCUACCAAGGCGACGACGGGUAGCCGGCCUGCGAGGGUGACCGGUCACACUGGGACUGAGAUACGGCCCAGACUCCUACGGGAGGCAGCAGUGGGGAAUAUUGCACAAUGGGCGCAAGCCUGAUGCAGCGACGCCGCGUGAGGGAUGACGGCCUUCGGGUUGUAAACCUCUUUCAGCUAUGACGAAGCGCAAGUGACGGUAGUAGCAGAAGAAGGACCGGCCAACUACGUGCCAGCCGCCGCGGUAA
rnacentral:rRNA from 1 species